UACAGAGGUCUCAAGCGUUGUUCGGAUUCAUUGGGCGUAAAGGGUGCGUAGGCGGCUUUCUAAGUCUGAUGUGAAAUCCCGGGGCUCAACCCUGGAACUGCAUUGGAUACUGGGAGGCUAGAGUACUGGAGAGGAAACUGGAAUUUACGGUGUAGCAGUGAAAUGCGUAGAUAUCGUAAGGAAGACCAGUGGCGAAGGCGAGUUUCUGGACAGUUACUGACGCUGAGGCACGAAGGCCAGGGGAGCAAACGGG
rnacentral:rRNA from 1 species